AACCAACCGGGAUUGCCUUAGUAACGGCGAGUGAAGCGGCAAAAGCUCAAAUUUGAAAUCUGGUACCUUCGGUGCCCGAGUUGUAAUUUGGAGAGGGCAACUUUGGGGCCGUUCCUUGUCUAUGUUCCUUGGAACAGGACGUCAUAGAGGGUGAGAAUCCCGUGUGGCGAGGAGUGCGGUUCUUUGUAAAGUGCCUUCGAAGAGUCGAGUUGUUUGGGAAUGCAGCUCUAAGUGGGUGGUAAAUUCCAUCUAAAGCUAAAUAUUGGCGAGAGACCGAUAGCGAACAAGUACAGUGAUGGAAAGAUGAAAAGAACUUUGAAAAGAGAGUGAAAAAGUACGUGAAAUUGUUGAAAGGGAAGGACAUUUGAUCAGACAUGGUGUUUUGUGCCCUCUGCUCCUUGUGGGUAGGGGAAUCUCGCAUUUCACUGGGCCAGCAUCAAGUUUUGGUGGCAGGAUAAAUCCAUAGGAAUGUAGCUUGCCUCGGUAAGUAUUAUAGCCUGUGGGAAUACUGCCAGCUGGGACUGAGGACUGCGACGUAAGUCAAGGAUGCUGGCAUAAUGGUUAUAUGCGCCCCGUCUUGAAACCCCG
rnacentral:rRNA from 1 species